UAGGUGGUGCAGUAUCCUAGUCGGGCUUACCCUUUUUGAAGACGGGCCUAAAAAUCCGUCAAGGGCACACCGAUGAAGUUCCUUGUGCUGGCUGCUGACGCCCAGUCGGGGGUUGGCGCAGGGAGUUAAGGGAACCGGGCGAUCUACAAGGGCAUGUAGGCGUUGACCCGCUUCCCGCGGAGGCCCUGGCUGCGGUCUAGCCAAGCGGUUUUGCCGUUGUCGGGGUUAAACCUACCGGGAGUACUGGUAGCGCAGUGCUUUCGGUAGCGUAGCCUGCCUUGAGCGGGGUGGGUGGAUACAGGUUCUCCAUGACGGAUGUGGGGCCCGCGUCCGUCAUCGGAUUGCUGUACGAAACCCAUCGCCGCAAAAGAGGCUAGAAAAGGGUAAGGCCGUCGAGGAAAACUCCUAGGCUGUUCCCUCUCCGGGAGGCGGAGCGGGGAUUAAAGUGUGUGCUAAGUGGUAGUCUAGCCCUGCCUACGGCGACGAGGCAGGUCGGCCAUAAAGGGAAACCGCCGUGGCGGCGACGCUGCGGAGGCCGACGGGAAAGCCAGCUGGACCUAAGCCGCAGCAUUUACCCGUUCCGUUACCACCUACCCUAAUAUU
rnacentral:sRNA from 1 species